rnacentral:lncRNA from 1 species
CCUAGGCCUCGACUGACACACACAAGGCACUACUCUCCCAGAGGGGUUCAGCAUGGUGCCCUCAGCCGAUCCUAGAGCCAAAGGGCCCAUGGACGAGCGUUGCUCAAUGUCUGCAGAGUGUUCCAGCAAGGUUCCCAGCUCAGACUCCAGCUUUGGAUAAAGAACACUAUUUCUUUAGUUAUUUAGCAAAAUUAAACUUUGUGUUAUCUGCUGCAAGAGCACCAAGGGGGAGAAAUCAGUUAAUUUUUUUUAAAUUUUGAGAUGGAGUCUUGCUAUGAAGUGAUGUGAUCUCGGCUCACUGCAACUUCUGCCUGCUGGGUUCAAGUGAUUCCCUGCCUUAGCCUCCCGAGUAGCUGGGACUCCAGGUGCCUGCCGCCACACUCAGCUAAUUUUUGUUUUGUUUUGUUUUGUUUUGUAAUUUUAGUAGAGACAUGGUUUCACCAUAUUGGCCAGGCUGGUCUCGAACUCCUGACCUCAGGUGAUCCACCUGCCUCGGCCUCCCAAAGUGCUGGGAUUACAGACGUGAGCCACCGAGCCUGGCCAAAUCAGUUAAUUAUAUUAGUAUUUACGUGGUCUUAAGAUCUUAGCUUAAUGAACCAAAUGUGAUUUGUCAAAAUUGACAACUGGGAAGGAAGGCCAAGAAUCUGAAAGAAAGACCAGAGAUUAUGCACAAACUGGAACAGCAGAUGAAUACCCAAGUGGACAAGGCAGACUUCUGAUCAUGCAGCAUCCACAUCUUCAUGUUCAUGAGGCAAAUAACCUCCUCUUUUCUAGCACUGGGGCACUGGAGUGAGGAUGAUAAUCAUUUUAUCUCGUGGAUCUGGUCCUGUUUCCAGUAGUCACACUGCUCUGGCAUGGUGCUGGCAUCAACUCUUCAUAAAACUGCCAGAUCCAGAUCUUAGCCAACGUUAAAUUCUUGGCGAGGGCCUUGCGAACCUUCUUAGAAAUUACCUUACAAUCUUAACAACCAGAAGAAAAAAAAUAAAGGUGAACCUUGUUCAUGAUGAUCUGAAUGAACAGAAUUAUUUCACCACAUCCUUUCUGGAAAUUGUUUCAUUAUAUUUUCAGAGCAACUACUAUUCUAUGUGUAAUUUUUAUAAAACAAAACAAAACUAAAUCAAAAGUACAGGGCCAAAUAAAAAGAGUUGAAAAGAAAGCUUGGCCUAUUUAACUUUGGUUAUAGAUGGGCAGAAGAUAAGAAAAAAUGUAUUGGGUUUGCUAUCAAUGUGAAAGGGAACUAAUUCCUUAUAAUAAGGAAUUUUAUGAGAGAGAGAGAGAGAGCACUUAAAACUAUAUUCCUGGUUGGUAUGUGG